UACAGAGGUCUCAAGCGUUGUUCGGAUUCAUUGGGCGUAAAGGGUGCGUAGGCGGGGCGGUAAGUCGGAUGUGAAAUCUCGGGAGCUUAACUCCGAAACUGCAUUCGAUACUGCCGUGCUUGAGGACUGGAGAGGAGACUGGAAUUUACGGUGUAGCGGUGAAAUGCGUAGAUAUCGUAAGGAAGACCAGUGGCGAAGGCGGGUCUCUGGACAGUUCCUGACGCUGAGGCACGAAGGUCAGGGGAGCAAACGGG
rnacentral:rRNA from 1 species